GAUGUCGAUUCCAAGAACAAAGUGGAAAAUUCUAAAGCGAAGAAAAUGAAUUGAUAUAAACGAUUAAUGCAAAAAAGAAAAAAGAAAAAAUAUAUAUAUAUAUAUAUAAAAAAAAAAGAAAAAGGAAAGCGAAAGGGUUCGAAGGGAAGUCCCCCGGGAAAUGGACAUGCCUCAGCGCAGCUACCUCGUCGUCGCUUCCUGAGGAUUACUGACAAACACACAUUUCUGAAGAAACGAUGGAAAUAUAUCAAACAACGAAAUCGGCCGCCGAUCGCUGUUUACCUCGAUCGUUCCUCUCCAUUUAUCGGCUGCGUGCCUUGCCAGUUCCAUUUUCUUCUGUUUUUUAGUUUGAUGCCUCUUGUACGCCAUCUCGAUAAUAAUCAAUCCGAUACCACCGAAGAUACCGACCGCGACCACUAUGAACACUCCCGCCAUAUUUUGCAAUCCGAGAGUGUUCGGAGUUUUUUCAAAUUGUUCGCAUUGUUGUAGAUUCCCUUGGAGUAUCCAAAGAUUAUCGAGACUUUCCAUAAAACCACCUAGAAACAAUCAAUGGAGUUUCAAAGUUUACAUUUGAUGGAUAUAUCAUAUACCAUCGUUUUUUUCUUUCUUAUUCAGUUAAAAUUUCGCUUUUGAUAAAAUCAUAUUUCAUCUAUCUACUCUUAUACUUGAUGUCAUUGCGUUGCUAUUACUUUCAUGAAAGUCUAAAAUUGCCAGUGUCACGGCAUCCGCCCAGGGUGAACCUUUCUGUAGGCCAAUUCCGUAACCAGAACGACCAAAUAAUUCACCGGCAGUUACUAGCUCGCAAUCCUGAGCUGCCUCGAAUUCCAAACGACGUUCCAAUACAAGGAAGGCAGCCAGAUUAGCUGUAUAAGAUGCCACGAUGAUCAUAGCAAAUCCUGCCCAUACCAUACCCAAUACUCGUGCUGAAAAACUUCUCGGAGUACCUAAACAUAAUAAAAUGCAUAACCA